rnacentral:misc_RNA from 1 species
AAGUCGUAACAAGGUCUCCGUAGGUGAACCUGCGGAGGGAUCAUUACUGAGUGAGGGCUCACGCCCGACCUCCAACCCUUUGUGAACGUAACUUGUUGCUUCGGGGGCGACCCUGCCGUCAUCUGGCGACGGGCGCCCCCGGAGGCCUUCAAACACUGCAUCUUUGCGUCGGAGUAAAAAGUUAAUUAAACAAAACUUUCAACAACGGAUCUCUUGGUUCUG